UACAGAGGGGGGCAAGCGUUUAUUCGGAAUUAUUGGGCGUAAAGGGCGCGUAGGCGGCUUGGCAAGUGGAUGGUGAAAGCCCUCAGCUCAACUGAGGAAGUGCGCCCGAAACUGCAGAGCUUGAGUGCCGGAGAGGGGUGGCGGAAUUCCCCCAAGUAGAGGUGAAAUUCGUAGAUAUGGGGGAGGAACACCGGUGGCGAAGGCGGCCACCUGGACGGUAACUGACGCUGAGACGCGAAAGCGUGGGGAGCAAACAGG
rnacentral:rRNA from 1 species